CCUACGGGUGGCUGCAGUGGGGAAUAUUGGACAAUGGGGGGAACCCUGAUCCAGCCAUGCCGCGUGUGUGAAGAAGGCCCUCGGGUUGUAAAGCACUUUCAGUGAGGAAGAACGCCUGGUGGUUAAUACCCAUCAGGAAAGACAUCACUCACAGAAGAAGCACCGGCUAACUCCGUGCCAGCAGCCGCGGUAAUACGGAGGGUGCGAGCGUUAAUCGGAAUUACUGGGCGUAAAGCGCGCGUAGGUGGCUUGAUAAGCCGGUUGUGAAAGCCCCGGGCUCAACCUGGGAACGGCAUCUGGAACUGUCAAGCUAGAGUGCAGGAGAGGAAGGUAGAAUUCCCGGUGUAGCGGUGAAAUGCGUAGAGAUCGGGAGGAAUACCAGUGGCGAAGGCGGCCUUCUGGACUGACACUGACACUGAGGUGCGAAAGCGUGGGUAGCAAACAGGAUUAGAUACCCUAGUAGUC
rnacentral:rRNA from 1 species